CUCUUUGCGAGGCUUUCUUUCGUGUUUUAUAACGACGAUUUAGAGCGUCCGUUUAAGCUAUAGACUAUCAUUAUUCUCGCCCGUACAGAACAACGAUAAUUAUUAAUUCAGCUCCCUUCAACGUCUUCGAUUUCCCUAGUCUUUAAUCAAACAUACGUUAUCAUUAGACAUUCUUAAUACAGCUCGUUUUAUCGUUAAUCCCCAAAUUUUAUUUCCGCUUCCUAUUUGCUUAAAUCUGUUUUGAAUAAGAUUAAUGUAAACUGAUGAAAAUAAAAUAUGCACUUAUAUAUGUCUCUCUGGAGCUCACCACAAAUGGCAUGAAUUAUAAGAUAGUUCCGGCUUCGACUUUAAACGGAAUAAAGAUCCACAAGAUCCCAGCUUUUCCCCGCAAAGAUACCUACAGUUCGAGGUAAUAAAAUCGCGUCGUCGCGUCGCGCCGCGCCGCGCCGUGCGGUGUCGGCCGAGCAGAAGCGGCAAUGGAUGAACGAAAGGGUUAGCUUCGAGAUUAAAAGGAAGUCACCCCCUGCUCCUCCCUUCUCUUCCAUCAAUCACAAUUAUAUCCUCUCUCUCCCCUGCUAUCGUUCAUAAUUACUGCUCGUGACUUUAUCCCGGCGCUCGAAGCUGCCGGUCGACCGGCUCGGUAUAACGCGAGAGAAAAAGAAGAAGGGAGGGGGAAGGAAUAUGGAUGCUCGGAGCAAGAGAUGGAGAAUACAAUAGACUUUUUGGCACGGAGUUGACUGUAAAACUCCCUGUCGAGGGGGUGGCAGGGAUCUUGAGAGAAAAAAAAAGUUUCGAGCCCUCCGGCCGUAGUUCUGAUCGCGGAAACGGAAACGCGAAGUCGCUAUCUCUCUUUAAAAAAAAAAUCUCUCUCCGUCGCAGCUUCGAGCUCGCAAAAUUUCUACUCGGACGAACCGGAGUGAAAUAUUUUCUCGAACGCAAUUAAAGCGCGAUCGCUCGGAUGCGUCCCAUAUUAUACAGUUCGCUUUCAGUAAAUAAUGUCAUGGUAUUCGAUGACGCAGAGCGUUCGCGCGGGCACGGUGCAUUAAACGCCACCGAUGAACUUACGUCACAUUAAAAAAAAUUAUUACCAAGUAUCCAAGGUCGCUUUUUUAUGCAAGUUCGCUCGGGGAAAAAAAAUAUCAUAGGUAAAGUCUGUGCCGUCAGCGUUGACCUUACGCAGUCUUUUUUACGCGCAAUAAAUCCCUAUUCCGUUCAAGUGUGACGUAUGUAUUUUCAUCGGCUGACAAUCGGUCGGCUCGAGCGAUGGGAUAACGGUGUCUAAUCAAUCGAGCGAUUCCGCGAAAUCGCGAUUUGUGUUGGCCCGACCCGCCGCACAGUAGGGCAAAAUUCCGAAAAGCUUGGUCAAAAUUAAUAAAUAAACUUUGAUUUGAAUGCAAAUUGCUACAGAUAUUUUCACGGUAUUUUCAAAGUUGCUGUUAACGAACACAAAGUCAAAUUUACUUCGAACUUAAAAUAAUAAAAAUCAUAACAAAAUAAUAGUAUUUACAUGUUUAGACAUAUAGUUGUUAAUCGACCGAAAUAAUUGUCAAAAAAAGAAAAAUUUUAACAAAAUAAAAAUUAGUAAUUAGGCGACUCUA